rnacentral:misc_RNA from 1 species
UUGGUCGUCUAACGCUGAUGGUGGUACCCAACAGGCUGAAGCGCAACAUGAAUAUCCUCUUUGAGGAAUCCUCGCCCCUCAGGGCGGGGAGGAUGUCAAUUCGAUACUC